rnacentral:tRNA from 1 species
AUAUAAAUAAGCUAAAUUUAAGCUUUUAGGUUCAUACCCUAAAUAUAGAAAAUAUCUUUUAUAUU